rnacentral:rRNA from 1 species
CCUACGGGUGGCAGCAGUGGGGAAUAUUGCUCAAUGGAGGCAACUCUGAUCCAGCAACGCCGCGUGCGUGAAGAAGGAUUUAUGAAUGUAAAGCUGUAUCUGUAGGGAGGAAAAUGACAGUACCUGACUCAGAAGAACCGGCUAACUACGUGCAAGAAGCCGCGGUAAUACGGAGGGUGCAAGCGUUAUACGGAUUUACUGGGUGUAAAGGGAGCGUAGACGGCUGCGCAAGUCAGAAGUGAAAGCCCGGGGCUCAACCGCGGUACUGCUUUUGAAACUGUGUAGCUAGAGAUCAGGUGGGGUAGGUGGAAUGCCUAGUGUAGCGGUGAAAUGCGUAGAUAUCAGGAGGAACACCGGUGGCGAAGGCGGCUUACUGGACUGUAACUGACGUUGAGGCUCGAAAGCGUGGGUAGCAAACAGGAUUAGAUACCCGUGUAGUC